UGGAUACCUAUGCAGGCAGACCUAUGGGACAACUGCUGGAAAAUUAAAGGGAUAUUUUUAUCCUAAGUUUACAAGUGGAUCCCUUCUGUUGGACUUCACUGAUACUUUGAAAAACUGAGGAAAUGCCAACCCAAUGAGCCAAGAAAAAUGAAUGAAAUAUAUAUCUACAUGCUGGAGAGGAAUAUAAUUCAUUAGGUGGCCUAUAAUAAGGAAUCCCAAUAAACGCUAUCAUAUUCUGGGAAUAAUUUUCUUCAAGUUUUUUCAACUUGGUAAUAUUUUUCAGUACAACUUUGGUUCAAUUAGAACUUCAUACCUUUUGAAUACUACAGUUAUUCCAAUAUAAACAGAGAGCUGUUAUUUAGAAAACACCCCUGAAGAAGUCGAUAUAGACGAAACGCGUUGGGUGAAAGCUCAUUAUAUUGUUUUUUUCCUUAUACAAAUAAUGUUGAAAUAUACAAUUGUAUCUCCAAUGUAAAAGAAAAGGAAAAGUUUUAUGAUAAGUUUUAAAUCAAAAUCUUUUAAUAAAGAGAUAUGUGAUUCUAAUAUGGGUGUAUAAAUGUGUAAGGUCAUCCUCUCUUUAUAUAACAUCCACCAACAGUCAUCUAAUUAUAUCAGAUUAUAGAAUAAGAGCGCUCCAUAGAGAUAUUUCUUCUUUUAUCUAUUUUUGAUCCUUACCGACAAAGGAUUCUCUCUGUGUUGAAGCUUGCUU